GAAGUGAGGAACAACUCUCGUGCGUCUCAACAAAAAUGGUCAAGCCGCACUUGCGCCACUACCAGGUGGUCGGCCGCGAGUCGCCCUCGGAGAAGAACCCGGAGCCGACUGUGUACAAGUUUGAGGUGUUCGCCCCAAACUUCGUCGUCGCCAAGAGCCGUUUCUGGCGCAUGAUGAGGGUCAAGAACAAGGUCAAGGCCACGCACGGUGACGUGCUCUCCUGCAAGGUCGUGAAGGAUGCGAAGCUGGUGGCGCGCAACUACCUGGUCGACAUCGCGUACUACAGCCAGCGCUGCGGCUACACGCGCAUGGUCAAGGAGUUCCGCGACGUCUCCAAGACCGGCGCCGUGAGCCAGGCGUACCACGACCUGGCCUCCCGCCACCGCGCCCGCUACCACAACAUCGAGGUGCUGAACGUGAAGAGCAUCCCGGACCACGAGGUGAAGCACCUGAGCAUUGCCCAAUACCACGCUCCGAACCUGUCCUUCCCGCUCCUGCAGCGCCGCAUCAAGGCAGCCCGCAAGGACCGUGCCAUCUUCGUCAAGAAGAACACGAAGCGCGCGGUGGUGGCGUAAGGGAGGGGGUGCGGUCUCGGGUGCUUUGCCCACAUCGGCACGAGCGCAUCCACAGGAGCGUCUGCGCGGGCGGGGGGGUGCGCACGCUGGCCUGGGCGCUUGUGCGCUAGUGCAUGUGCGUGCAGUCUUCUUUCGCGGUGCUGUGCUCUCUGUCGUGCGCGGGUGCUUCUGGCGCCCACUUCCCUCGUCUCAUUUUUUCGGUUCCCCUUUUUUUUUUGUUCGCUUUUGCGUCUCCUUUACGUGAAAAAAAAAGCACUCGUGCACAACG
rnacentral:misc_RNA from 1 species